UUCUUUCUUUGUAGUGAUGAAUAAGAUUCCAUUGUCUGGCUGUACCACAGCUUUUUUAUCCAUUCACCUACUGAAGGACAUCCUGGUGG